UGAACACUGUUGAAAUAACAAUGAAGGAUUUAGAUUACUACAUUAUCUUAGUUGAUAAAGCGGCAGCAGGAUUUGGAGAGGAUUGACUCCAAUUGUGAAAGAACUGCUACUGUGGGUAAAAUGCUAUCAAACAGUAUAAUUGCAUGCUAUGGAGAAAUUUUUCACGAAAGGAAGAGUCAAUACAUCCACCAAACUCUGUUGUUGUCUUAUUUUAAGAAUUGCCCUGGGCCAGGCACACUGGGUCAUGCCAGUAAUCCCAACGCUUUGGGAGGCAGAGGCAGGAGUAUCACUUGAGGCUAGACGUUCAAGACCAGCCUGGGCAACAUAGCAAGAUGCCAAUUCUACAAAAAAAAAAAAAUUAAAAAUUAAAAAUUAGUCACAUGGGCAGAGAACGCGGGUCCACGCGUGCGAUCAUCCGUGCAUCUAGCCUUUGCCCACACAGCUUUCAGUCAUGGCCUCCAGUAAUGCGCACGUGGAAAAGCCCGCCCCUGACUUCAAGGCCACAGCCAUGGUGGAUGGCGCCUUCAAAGAGGUGAAGCUGUGGGACUACAAAGGGAAGUACGUGGUCCUCUUUUUCUACCCUCUGGACUUCACUUUUGUGUGCCCCACAGAGAUCAUCGCAUUCAGCAACCACACCGAGAACUUCCGCAAGCUGGGCUGCGAAGUGCUAGGUGUCUUGGUGGACUCUGAGUUCACCCACCUGGCUUGGAUCAACACCCCCCAGAAGGAGGUAGGCUUGGGCCCCCUGAACAUCCCCCUGCGUGCUGAUGCGACAAGACGCUUGUCUGAGGAUUACGGCGUGCUGAAAACAGAUGAGGGCAUUGCCUACAGGGGCCUCUUUUACACUGAUGGAAGGGUGUCCUUCGCCAGAUCACCGUUAAUGAUUUGCCUGUGGGACGCUCAUUGGAUGAGGCUCUGCAGCUGGUCUGGGCCAUCCAGUACACGGAUGAACACAGAGAAGUUUGUCCUGCUGGCUGGAAGCUUGGCAGUGACAAGAUUAAGCCCAAUGUGUAUAUACCCAUGCACAGCCAGGAAUAUUUCUCCAAACACAAUUAG